rnacentral:rRNA from 1 species
GACAUAUCAUUACAAGUAUUCUGACCUAUCAGCUUUAGACGGUAGGGUAUUCGGCCUACCGUGGCAAUGACGGGUAACGGGGAAUUAGGGUUCGAUUCCGGAGAGGGAGCCUGAGAAACGGCUACCACAUCUAAGGAAGGCAGCAGGCGCGCAAAUUACCCAAUCCUAAUACAGGGAGGUAGUGACAAGAAAUAACAAUACAGGACUUUUUGGUUUUGUAAUUGGAAUGAGUUAAGUAUAAACCCCUUUACAAGUAUCAAUUGGAGGGCAAGUCUGGUGCCAGCAGCCGCGGUAAUUCCAGCUCCAAUAGCGUAUAUUAAAGUUGUUGCAGUUAAAAAGCUCGUAGUUGGAUUUCUGUUAAUAAUUUAUAUAAAAUAUUUUGAUGAAUAUUUAUAUAAUAUUAACAUAAUUCAUAUUACU